rnacentral:tRNA from 1 species
CGUGUAAGGGUUUCCGCGUGUGAUUUGAAGUCAUUCGUUUCAUAUUUGGUUAUGGUGCUCG